rnacentral:rRNA from 1 species
CCUACGGGAGGCAGCAGUGAGGAAUAUUGGUCAAUGGCCGUAAGGCUGAACCAGCCAAGUAGCGUGAGGGAAGACUGCCCUAUGGGUUGUAAACCUCUUUUAUGCGGGGAUAAAGGUGUCCACGUGUGGCUGUUUGCAGGUACCGCAUGAAUAAGGACCGGCUAAUUCCGUGCCAGCAGCCGCGGUAAUACGGAAGGUCCGGGCGUUAUCCGGAUUUAUUGGGUUUAAAGGGAGCGUAGAUGGGUUGUUAAGUCAGUUGUGAAAGUUUGCGGCUCAACCCCGGCCUGCCGUCGGAACUGGGUGCCUUGAGUGGGCGAGAAGUAUGCGGAAUGCGUGGUGUAGCGGUGAAAUGCAUAGAUAUCACGCAGAACCCCGAUUGCGAAGGCAGCAUACCGGCGCCCUACUGACGCUGAGGCACGAAAGUGCGGGUAUCGAACAGGAUUAGAUACCCUGGUAGUC